UACGGAGGGGGCAAGCGUUGUUCGGAAUUACUGGGCGUAAAGGGCGCGCAGGCGGCUGCUCAAGUCAGGCGUGAAAGGCCUGGGCUCAACCCGGGAAUUGCGCUUGAGACUGGGCUGGCUUGAGUGCGGGAGAGGAUGGUGGAAUUCCCAGUGUAGAGGUGAAAUUCGUAGAUAUUGGGUGGAACACCGGUGGCGAAAGCGGCUACUCUGGUCCGGACCUGACGCUGAGGCGCGAAAGCGUGGGGAGCAAACAGG
rnacentral:rRNA from 1 species